GGUAAAGAAGUAAAAUUUUACACUUAAUUUCGACUUAAAAUUAGUUUUUAUAUACCAUACCUUUAAUU
rnacentral:tRNA from 1 species